rfam:Myotis brandtii contig166465, whole genome shotgun sequence.
GGCGGUUCUCGGGUGAUGCACUCCGGAAUUGGGCUCCCUCCUCUCUAAUUCUGGGGUGCGUCACCCAAGAACUGCC